GAGACUCCGUCUCAAAAAAAAGAAUUAGGGGGUGAGAUAGAUGACAGAUGUGGUUAAUUGCAUUAUUCUUCCUGAUUUUUCACGCCUUCCUGUAUGCUUGUCUUAAGAUCUAGCACUUCUGUUCUCUGGGGUUGGAGGAUAUUGUCUUACUGUGUCUCUGUUGGACAUGGCCUUGUGAUUUGCCUCAGCCUUUGACCUUUGAGAUGUAGGUGGAAGCAACAAAGUGACAGUUCCAAGUCCCGACCAUAAGAAGCAUUGUGUAUUUCCAUUUGUGCUUCCAACCGUUCCCAUGACAAGAGCAUACCCUUGGAUAUAGCUGCUACUCUUUCGUCUUGGACCCCAGAAUGAACGUGUGGAUCUCCAGCCUCCCCACUAACCUGUGGGCCUGAGAACAAGAGCUCCCUGUUGCACUGCUGACUGAUACACAUAGUGCAAGCACAGCUGGCCCUCCAUACAGCUUGGGAAGAUGGAUCAAUAUGGCCUGUAGAGUAAGAAGACCUAUAUCCAGAUCUGCAUUUUACUGUUUUCUCUGGAUAAGACUGAGAGUCAAAGUGAGGACAGGAAGAUAGGAAGGCAGAUGUCAGAGAAAGGAUCAUAAGGUAGUGGAGAAAAGAAAAGAAAAAAAAAGAACAGGUCUUUAAGAGAGGAGACACAACAGUUAUGUCCAAGAAGACAGAGCACCUUUGCAUUGAUCAUUGUUGUAUCCUU
rnacentral:lncRNA from 10 species